GCGCCAUCACCUACACCUUCAGGACCCCCACUGCCCACCUCUUCACCGACGCUGCCUUCAUCAGCAGUGUUACACCUUGGCACUGCACAAGAUCCACCUUCCCGUGCAUUAAUUCCUACUGUGCAGCCUGUUUUGCCUUCCACCGACCCACUACCAUCUACAGUAGUUCAGGCCCCACCUCUUGGCCCACACAUGGGGUCCAAAUCAGGGAUAUUCAAACCCAAAGUUAGGUCCUAUUUUGCCUCUCGCCACCCACUUCCUCAAGCUUUUACGGCGCUGGUAGAGGAGGAUUCUGAACCUUCUUGCUACAGCCAAGCAUCCCGCUCUCCCUCGUGGCGACAGGCCAUGGUAGAUGAAUUUAAUGCCCUACUUAAAUAACAGACGUGGUCUCUUGUCGCUCAUGUACCUCAUGCCAACACCGUUGCUUGUAAAUGGGUCUUCAAGUUGAAGUGCAAUUCCGAUGGUUCGAUUGAGCAUCAUAAGGCACGUCUCGUUGCCAAAGUCUUCCAUCAGCAGGUUGGUGUUGAUUUUUCAGAGACUUUUAGUCCCGUGGUAAAACCGACAACGAUUCGUACCGUUCUUAGUCUUGCUAUCUCCUUUGGGUGGCCCUUCAUCAACUUAAUGUGAAGAAUGCUUUUCUUCAUAGUUCCUUGAUGGAGGAAGUUUACAUGACUCGGCCACCUGGAUUUGUCGAUCCGAAUCGUCCUAAUUAUGUCCGUAAGCUUAACAAGGCAAUAUAUGGACUUAAGCAAGCCUCCCGUGCUUGGUUUCAGCGUCUUAGCUCCUUCUUGAUUCACUCCGGGUUUCUCCAAAGCUUCCGGGUUCUAUAAUUCUGGUGUUCCUUCUCUAAGUGGAUGAUAUUGUUGGAAAUUCAAAUCAAAACAGGUUGUAAAAUAUUGCUGCUAGCUGUUUGUUUCUUUCCAGCUACAAAGAACAAAGUCUCCUUCAUGUGCUAGCCGAAAGGUGUUGAAAGACAGCAAGGAAUGAUGCAGAGCAUGUGUGUAAAAGUGUCUAGCAGCUGGUGCAUAUGUGAAAGGGUGUAAAGAUGGUAAUCACCAUCUGUCGUUGCAUGUGUGUGCGCCAGAUUGUUCUAAUCUGUUUGAAUGAUUGUAUGUGUUGUUGUAUUUUUUUAUUUAAAGCACUUGAGUGGUUCUUUGCUGUUUGGCUUGUAUAAAUAAGCCUCCUUGCUAGGCUUUAGCAUCAUCCCAUCCGAAUCCCAUUUUCUGAUUGUAUUCUCUCAGGUUCAUAAGCUUGUAAGCUUCUGUCUUUUUUCAUCAGUUUGUAAACUGCCUUUUAUUUCAUAUAUCAAGAAAGCUUGUUUCGUGGAAGCUUGUUAUUUC